GAGUAAGAAUGAGAGUGGUAUAUGUAAUAGGUUUGUGUGUGUGUGUAGGAUUAUUAAUAGCUAAGUGGGGUAUUAAUUGUGUGAAAAUAAGGUAGGUGAGGAGGAAAUUUAACAACUUGGAAUACAAUAUGACAGGUGGUUUUUGUGUGAGAUGAAAUGGGAAUGAAAGUGGGAACAAACUUUGGAUGUGUCUAGAGUGACAUAUGACUUUUGUAGAAAUGGAUGACAGAUCAAUCAAUGAUAUAUUGUGAAGUCACAUCUUCAUGUAAAGCUAGAGGUUUUAAAAGAGUCGAGCUGAGUAGUACUCAAAAUUUCUAGCAUAUGAGCUAACUUGACCUGUUUAAGGUCGUAUUGUAGGUUAGCCUUUGUUUGAAGGCAAGUCGAGAUGGGGUUUUGGGAUUUGAACUCAGCGGCUUUUCCAAGUUAGCUAUCUCGACAAAAAAUAAAUGAAUAUAGAAUUAUGAUACAAGGGCGUGCAAGAUUAUGGAAUCGUGCUAAGUAAAUGUUAAGUGCUCGUUUGGGAGAGUUAAAAAAGUUGCUAAAAGAUUGAAGUCAAAUUCAGUACACAUCACAUAUAACCCACAAUCACUAAUCAUUUAUACACCAUUCAUUUCGUGAGACACACUACUCUCUUUUAUCAACAUCGGCUUUAUUUUUUUCCCGCUCUCCCAAGCAACACUGAUUUUGUAGAUGAUAUAAAAUUAAGCUCCAAAAUAAUAAACAUAGAAUUGUUGUUCUAAAAGUAUAUGCAAAAUUAGUGCAUCAAUUAACACAUAAAUUUAAUAUUAAACUCAUCAAUUAAAAUCAUUAGAAGUGUGUAUGGACUGGUUUGAAUAGGUAUUCAUAAGUGUAAUAAAUUAAUAGCAUGUUUGAGUCUAUUUUUUUGAUGAAAAUGUAUUUUUGAAUAGCAUUUUGAUGGAGAAUGUGUGGUUAAAAAGUAAGGAAAAAUUUUAGAUUUGUAAGUAAUAUUAUUUUAUUGAAAAAUAUAUUGUUGAAAAUAAGAAAAAGAAAAAGAAAUUUUAAAAUUAAUAGAAAUCGAACAGUAGCUAAAUAUACGAAUACAUGGAACUUAACGAUUGUAUAUCCCAUGAUAGAAUCAAAUCAAAUCAGAAUUGAUUGGUCCUAGCUCAAUCUCGUAUAACUUUUUAAUUGCUUUGAGAAAUAUAGGGAAAAAAAAAAGUAUAACACGUGAACUGGGUUUUAUUAAUUCUAGUUUUAAUUUCAAACUAUUUUAUUUGAAAUUAUAAAAUUGAUUAUUCAUAUUACAAAUUAAUUUAAUUGAGAAAUUAUAAAAAUAUUGAAAUUAAGUUAAAUAUAGUUCUUUAGCUGGAAUGUCGAACCAAAUCAAAACCAUUUAGUUAACUAUAAAAUUUUAAUCGGAUUGAAACCGAUUACUUUGAUCAGUUUUCAGGUAACAUUAACAAUAGUUAUCAGAAUAAUAAAUGUACAUAUUUAUAUAGAAUUGAGUUUAUCAAUAGCAGUACCUAACAUAGAAAAUUACCUUAAAUAAAUGCAAGACUAGGUACUAAUGGAUCGCGUUAAUUAAAAUAACUACUUAAAUGAUUAUUCCCAUGAAUUACAUUUUAAUAAAAAAAAGAAAAAAAAAAGUUGAACCCCAACCUUGAAGGCCCCCACCGCCCUACCACUAGAACUUUGUGAGGAAGGUAAGUUGCGGCAUAUGCCCUAGCAGGUCAGGGAAUAAGAGUUACCUGUACACUGCGCCUACAAAGAGUCUAAUUCCAUGUUUCAGGAAUCGAACCCCCCACACUGCGGCUGCCAACAAGGCGUGAGAUAACAUCACUCUUAUCCUUUGCACUACUAGGCUAUGCUCCGGGGGGCAAUUACAUUUUUACAUAUAUAAAAAACAAAGGAGUUGAUUAUUUGAUUUUGAUAAGAUAAAAAUUCAAGCCAUAUGGCUCGAGCAAAGAUUUCGAAUUCAAAUCUAAUAACUACAUUACAUAAAUAAUUUUCUCCGAUGUCUUCACAAUUUUUAAAAUUAUUACUCUCUUGUAUGGCGCACUUGCCUAAGCUUAAAAAAUUUUACUCAAAUUAAAAUUAAUUUUAGUUUAAAGACUCAACUUACACUUUUAAAAGUUUAGUGACUAUAUGAAAUUUACAGCAAUGCGUUUUAUAAAGUUGUAAAAAAUAAAUAAAUAAAGUGUCAAAAGAUUCACCGUACGAUAAUAUAAGAUAUUGUGAUAAGCCACAAUCUCUUUGAUGAUCAAAUUGCAUUGAUAUUGAUAGUGAUCCCUUUUCAAUUAACCUUUUCCAUCAUAUUUCAUUGCAUAAAUUAGAUGAUUUUAGUGUUAGAGCUCUCUAGAAGUGUAAUAUGGGUAAUAAAGAAAGGUAAUGGGUUAUUGUCUCUUUGAUUUUGGGUGUAUGAAAAGGGACAUAACAAUAAUUGUAAAAUAGUUUUCGUCCCUUUCUUUUUCUUUUAUUUAAAAAAAAGAAAAGAAAAAUCUAGAAUCUUGUAUUGUCCUCAUUCUAUGAACAUAGAUUGUUCAUCACUUUAUGAUUUGCUAAAUAUGGGUGAAUAUUUAUUGUAGUUAUCGAGUUAUUUUCUUAAGAAUACGCUAUUGCUUUUAUUAUACUCCUAAUUUUACAGUUAUUAUCGAUUAUUUCUAAGAACGUAUAGUAGUCAACUGUCCUCCCUUCACUCGACCAUGACACCUAGAAAGAACAUAGCAAAAAAGGAUCCAAAAUCUUGACGAGUUGUCCCCUUCAUGUUACAAACAUUAGUAAAAUCUCCGAUGAUGCACAUAACAAGUUUAUGCUAAUCCUAUCGCAACAAUUUUAUACAAAAUGAGGUAGUAAUAGUUAUCCAUAUUUAUUUUCAUGAUUGUUAAUGAAAAUUAAAUUAUAUGGUAUUUGUUACAUGUUAAAUUGAGAGAUUGCAUAUUAGCAAUCAAUCUUUCUUUUCGUGAAUUUGUUGUUAGAUAGAAAGAUUUCUACUUAUUCAUGAAAUUGUCAUACUUAUUUUUUAUUUAUUUAUUUUUUUCUUGCAUCACUUUUAUUGAAACGUUAAUCGAGAGGAAAGUUUUUUUAAUUAGGUGUGUAUUAACUAGUAGCUAAGAGACAAUUGUUUUGUAUGGGGCUAGUACCCGAUGAUACAAUAAUUACACCAAAAUAUGUUAAUUAGUGAAAUUUGGAUCCCUAAUCAAGGGUGGAUCAAGCACUUUGUGAGCCCCGCGAUCGCCCGUACUGAAUCCGUCGAAAGCAAUUAUUUUUUGUUGAUGAUAAAUAUAAGUUUUAUAUUAGAUAUCUGAUAAUUCACUGUCUUUACAAGCUUUUUUUAUGGCUUAGUUGAUUGAAGCUUUCACAAUCAAAUUUGGUGACCUGGGUUCUAAUUAGUGAUGGCAAAAACAGGCGCCUCAUUGCGCCCCGCCUUGAAUGGGAAAAAAACCCACCCUGAAUGGGUUGGCGAGGCGAUGAUGCCCCGCCCCGCCCCACCCCGCCCCACCCUAUGAAGGAAAAAAAGUCAUUUUGAAUUAUGCAUAUAACAUGAUAAAUGGUAAACUAAAACCCCGUUCCGUGAAGGAAAAAAACCAUUUUGAAUUAUGUAGAUAAAAUAAUAUAUGGUAAACUAAAAACUCCUCAGAAAGCAAGCUUCUAUAGUAUCACAUCUUAAUCUUAUCAUGCGCCUCACCCCGAACCCACCCCAAUCCCCAUUGCCAUCCCUAGUUCUAAUCUCCUUCAAAGCAAUUUAUAGUAUUUUUUUUUUUCUAAUUCAACAAUUUUUACUAAAACUAAUGCAAGAGUGGAGACUCGAAAUUGUGACCCCUCUUUCAAAUUAUUGAAACCUUGACCAUCGUUGCAUUCAUUGAACUAUGGUAUUAAAUCUAACAAAAUAAUAUAUAUUCAAGUUUAGUGGCUUAAUACAAUAACAAGGGUUCGAACUCUCGAUAGUAAAUUUGAGGCAAAUGGCACUUGGCCGCUAUGUCUAAAUUGAUAUGUGUAGCAGAAAAUAUAUGUUUAUUUUUAUCAAAAAUAAUAUAAUUUGUUAUAUUUAAUUUUAAAUAUUUUAUUAUGACCAGCGAUCAACUAGCCGCCCGUACUCACUUCAACUCCUGAAUUCACCCUUGUCCCUAGCCAUUUACUUAAUUGGUUUCUACCUCGAUAGUUGCUUUGUCAUUAUUAGUCAAAUUGUUUUAUUUAGUUGUUAUUUAAAAAAAUAGAAUUCAAAAUUUAAAUAUUAUUAUUAUUAUUUUUGGUAUUUCUGAAGUUAAUUUUGAUUAGAGUAUAAUAAAUAUAUAAUCAAUAUUCAGUAGUACUCUCUACCCACUACUUUAUUAAUUACUUGUCGACUAGCCAUCCACAUAAACCUUUACCACUUCUUCUACUCAUCACCUAUUUGACCCGCUCUCUUUUUUCUAUCCUAAAUGAAAUGAUGAAUUCUAUACGGAAUGCAAUAUUAGUGAUCGAUACUUGGCCCCCCUCUUCUUACCAUGCCACAUGGUAAGGAUAGACGCCUAGUAUCCACGAAUGCCCCUAUAAACAAAGAGAGAAAGAGAGAAGAUAUAUUGCACUUAAAGUUCAUCAAUUAACAGUUGCCUCGAAAAAUAAUUUUGGGAACGUUAAAAGUGUAAGCACAAAAAAGGAGACACAAAACCCUCGUCUUUUCAACACUCAAGUUAAUAUCUGCAUAUAAAAUUCAUAAACUAAAAAUAAAAUAAAUAUCUUAUUUAUCUUUUUGUUGUUCUCAACAAAGUUGAUCUUGAUCGUCGUGUAGCGAUUUUUAUCUUUUACUAGGUGGAAUGAUCGAAUCAUCCAAAUCAACUGAAAAUAAAAAAGAUAUACUGCAAAUAAUUCAUAAAUACAGCAAUAAUAUAUUUUAAAGUAGAUAUUGAAAAUCACAACAAUAUAAAUUACUCAUAACAUAGGAUCAUAGAUCCAUAUAACAAGCUCAUAAUUCAUGAAAUUACUCCAAAACGAAACCCAAAAAACUCUCAAGUUUUAUUCCCUUGGUUUGAUUCCCAACCAGUACCUAAAAUUUAUACUAUAGAAGUAUAUAAUUCUGUGAGUCCACUGUAAGGGACAUGGCUAAAUAUUGUGAUCUCUCUAAGGGCACUUGGGUUUGCCCUUAGAGUUCUUCUUGUCCCUAUAACAGGGACAUUCAUCCUUGUGCCCAUAGGUCCCAGAAGGCACACAAUGGCACUCCUCGCAGCAAAUUCCGCAGUAACGCAAGCACCUGUCCUUCAAUCCUGCCUUUGAACACCUCACUGCACAUUUACUAUCGCAAAAACCUAGCAAAAAUCACCACAUCAUGCACAAAAUCAGCAUGUAAUAUGAACAAAAGAAUCAAACUUUACAAAACCCAUAAUGCCAAAAUAAAGAAAAAGGUUUACGAACUUGAAGCCAUUGUGGUGCGGAUGUGUGAAGAACUGAGGAGAAGGGCUACAAGAAGAAGAGCUGUAAAGAAGAACUUCUUCAUAUUUCUGACGUUUCUAGUGAAUGGAAUGCAAGUGUUUAUGAGUUGAGUAAGAAUGAGAGUGGUAUAUGUAAUAGGUUUGUGUGUGUGUGUAGGAUUAUUAAUAGCUAAGUGGGGUAUUAAUUGUGUGAAAAUAAGGUAGGUGAGGAGGAAAUUUAACAACUUGGAAUACAAUAUGACAGGUGGUUUUUGUGUGAGAUGAAAUGGGAAUGAAAGUGGGAACAAACUUUGGAUGUGUCUAGAGUGACAUAUGACUUUUGUAGAAAUGGAUGACAGAUCAAUCAAUGAUAU
rnacentral:lncRNA from 1 species